rnacentral:rRNA from 1 species
GACGUAGGGCGCGAGCGUUGUCCGGAUUUAUUGGGCGUAAAGAGCUCGUAGGCGGCUUGUUGCGUCGACUGUGAAAACCCGCAGCUUAACUGCGGCCUGCAGUUGAUACGGGCAGGCUAGAGUUCGGUAGGGGAGACUGGAAUUCCUGGUGUAGCGGUGAAAUGCGCAGAUAUCAGGAGGAACACCGGUGGCGAAGGCAGUCCCCUGGCCUGUACUGACGCUCAUGCACGAAGCGUGGGAGCAAACAGG